rnacentral:rRNA from 1 species
GACGAACGCUGGCGGCGUGCUUAACACAUGCAAGUCGAACGGAAAGGCCCUGCAUUUGUGGGGUGAUCGAGUGGCGACCGGGUGAGUAACACGUGAGUAACCUGCCAUUGACUUUGGGAUAACUUAAGGAAACUGGGGGUAAUACCGGAUAGGAGCUCCUGCUGAAAGGUGGGGGUUGGAACAUUUAGGCGGUUGGGGAUGGAAUCGCGGCUAAUCAUCUUGUUGGUGAUGUAGUGACUUACAAAGGCCUUGAAGGGUAGCAGGGCUGAGAUGGUGACCGGCCACAGUAAGACUGGUAUACGGCACAGACUCCUACGGGAGACAGCAGUGAGUAAUAUUGCACAAUGUACGGAAGCCUGAUGCAGCAACGCCGCGAGCCGUAGGACGGCCUUCGGGUUGUAAACCGCUUGCGCCUGUGACUAUGCGGGAGUGACGGUAAUGGGUAGAGAAGCACCGGCUAACUACGUG